AGGCAGCAGUGGGGAAUAUUGCACAAUGGGGGAAACCCUGAUGCAGCGACGCCGCGUGAGUGAAGAAGUAUUUCGGUAUGUAAAGCUCUAUCAGCAGGGAAGAAGAAAGACGGUACCUGACUAAGAAGCCCCGGCUAACUACGUGCCAGCAGCCGCGGUAAUACGUAGGGGGCAAGCGUUAUCCGGAUUUACUGGGUGUAAAGGGAGCGUAGACGGCUGUGCAAGUCUGAAGUGAAAGCCCAGGGCUCAACCCUGGGACUGCUUUGGAAACUGUGGAGCUAGAGUGCUGGAGAGGUAAGUGGAAUUCCUAGUGUAGCGGUGAAAUGCGUAGAUAUUAGGAGGAACACCAGUGGCGAAGGCGGCUUACUGGACAGUAACUGACGUUGAGGCUCGAAAGCGUGGGGAGCAAACAGGAUUAGAUACCCUGGUAGUCCACGCGGUAAACGAUGAAUACUAGGUGUUGGAGAGCAAAGCUUUUCG
rnacentral:rRNA from 1 species